GCGGCUAACCCGGCAAGGAAGGCACGACCGGCCACGGUAGGGUCAGCGACUGGGGUG
rnacentral:rRNA from 1 species